rnacentral:rRNA from 1 species
CCAAUAGCGUAUAUUAAAGUUGUUGCAGUUAAAAAGCUCGUAGUUGAACCUUAGGCCCGUGCGGGCGGUCCGUCCUCGUGGCGAGCACUGUCCGUUGCGGGUCUCACCUUCUGGCGAGCGUAGAUGCCAUUUAUUUGGUGUCUGCGGGAACCAGGACCUUUACCUUGAAAAAAUUAGAGUGCUCAAAGCGGGCUCCGACGCUUGAAUACAUUAGCAUGGAAUAAUGAAAUAGGACGAUGGUUCUAUUUUGUUGGUUUCCGGGACCGUCGUAAUUAUUAAUAGGGAUAGGUGGGGGCAUUCGUAUUCAAUUGUCAGAGGUGAAAUUCUUGGAUUUAUUGAAGACGAACUACUGCGAAAGCAUUUGCCAAGGAUGUUUUCAUUAAUCAAGAACGAAAGUUGGGGGAUCGAAGACGAUCAGAUACCGUCGUAGUCUCAACCAUAAACUAUGCCGACUGGGAAUCGGGCGAUGUUACUUUUACGACUCGCUCGGCGCCCCGAG